GUGCUCACGUUGGCAGCACAUACACUAAAAUUGCAACAAUACAGAGAAGAUUAGCAUGGUCCCUGAAAUCAAGGAUGAUGCACAAAUUUGUGAAGCAUUCCUUAUUUUU